rnacentral:rRNA from 1 species
GACGAACGCUGGCGGAGGGAGGAACACAUGCAAGUCGAACGGAAAGGCCCUGCUUUUGUGGGGUGCUCGAGUGGCGAACGGGUGAGUAACACGUGAGUAACCUGCCCUUGACUUUGGGAUAACUUCAGGAAACUGGGGCUAAUACCGGAUAGGAGCUCCUGCUGCAUGGUGGGGGUUGGAAAGUUUCGGCGGUUGGGGAUGGACUCGCGGCUUAUCAGCUUGUUGGUGGGGUAGUGGCUUACCAAGGCUUUGACGGGUAGCCGGCCUGAGAGGGUGACCGGCCACAUUGGGACUGAGAUACGGCCCAGACUCCUACGGGAGGCAGCAGUGGGGAAUAUUGCACAAUGGGCGGAAGCCUGAUGCAGCAACGCCGCGUGCGGGAUGACGGCCUUCGGGUUGUAAACCGCUUUCGCCUGUGACGAAGCGUGAGUGACGGUAAUGGGUAAAGAAGCACCGGCUCACUACGUG